rnacentral:rRNA from 1 species
UUUGACCUCGGAUCAGGUAGGGAUACCCGCUGAACUUAAGCAUAUCAAUAAGCGGAGGAAAAGAAACCAACAGGGAUUGCCCUAGUAACGGCGAGUGAAGCGGCAACAGCUCAAAUUUG